rnacentral:lncRNA from 1 species
CCCUAAAUGAGAACAGGAGUGGGGAGGGUAUCAAGUUCAUCAAGAUGAUACACAUGACCCUAGGCUACAGGUCUGGCCAUGUCCUUCAGUUGCUGAAGGCAGUCCUUCAUAAGGUGCUGAGUGCUUCCGCACUUAUAGUAGGCGUUGUUCAAAUGCCGAUGAGGCUAAUCACCAUGAAAGCGACCACAAUGCUGGCAUGGUUGGGAAGGUGGGGUAAGUUAUCAAAUAGGUGGAGAUAGAGCA